CAAAAACCAAGCCCCCCCUUUCUCUCAUCGUCCCCCAACAACUCUUCUUCGUUUCUUCAUCUCGUCCGCUCCGCCAUUAACCUCCUGAGAGAGCAGUAGUUUCAGUUUGAAACUAAUCCAUCAAGCCAAAGCUUAGUUUGAUUUCGAUUAGAAUUAGCUAGGUUUAUGUUUUUUGUUACUCGUCUCGACGAUUUGACCUAAAUUCUGUAUGACGAUGAAGAAGAUGGAACGUAGCGAUUUUUUUAUGCUAAAUUUCAUGCUUUUCCUUCUUCUUUGAUGAGAUUCGAGAGAGUAUGUUGUUCGAGAAGGAUAACUUAAUUAUGGAAUUUACUUCACCUGGCAGGGUUAGAUAAGUUUGUCUGCUUGUUUUAGUAGAUAUGACAGACUUCUCAAGGGCAAAGUUACCACCGAAGACAAAUUGAAAACGGUCCCUGAAGGGUAUCACCCUGCUUCUUAACCUUAUGAAGUAGUUUUAGAUUGCAUCCUGGCAGUCAGAUGGAAGGCCACAAAGGAACAGAUGGAGUCAUAUAUAUUAGUGCAGUUGAAAAAAAAUAUGUGAGUAUAUAUAGGGGCUAGAAAUAAAUUGUAGUUCUCGGUAUUGUUCUUUAGUUCUAUGACUUCCCUAUUUUACUUGGAUACUGGCAGGAACGGCUCUGCAUACGAAUUCCAUUGACCUGCCAUGGCUAGUAUAGAACCCUCAUAUUGGAGAGAGACGAAUUUGGUAGUUAAUUUUAGUUUGACUUCUCUUACUUCCCUUCUGAACUUUCCUGGAAAAGAAGAGAGAAAAAUUGUCCAACGAUAAGAGUCAUGCAUUUUAUAACUCAAACAAGUUCUUUGAGAUAAAGAAAUAGCAAGCUGCAACCAUCGCUGGAGCACGUUACUCCUCGUGGUUUGAAAAAGAAGAAUGACGUAAAAUCUACGAUAAAGUCUGAAAAGACAAUUAGAGAAGCUGGGCCCUCGAGGACGCAAGUAAGAUCUGUUAUAUCUUUGUUCCUCUUUUCACGAUGUUAUGAAUAAACAAGUACUUUGUUGCUCUUUUGACGAUGUUAUGAAUAAACAAGUACAAGUUGUCCUGUUACUGAGUAGGUCACACGUUAGUGCGUGUUUGCGUAUAGCAGUAACUAGAUCGUGUUUACAUUAUUCCCAUAAUUUAGAUCCCGUGUCAUGGAGUGGCUAUUGUGAACUACAAGCUAUUGAAACAGAUAGAAAUAUUAUUGUUCAGUUGUAUUUUUGAUACAAGUUGUCCUGUUACUGAGUAGGUCACACGUUAGUGCGUGUUUGCAUGAAGUGUCAAAUAAUGUGUCAUGUGCUUCAAAACUCCAAUAGGUCUGUUACACCAGUAGUUGGUAGUCACCAAUGCUUUUAACAUAACAUUAAGGAAGUGCUUUAGCAUUUAGCAGUAACUAGAUCGUGUUUACAUUAUUCCCAUAACUUAGAUCUUGUGUCAUGGAGUGGCUAUUGUGAACUACAAGCUACUGAAACAGAUAGAAAUAUUAUUGUUCAGUUGUAUUUUUGAUACAGAAAGAAAAAGGCUCCAACUUCCAGGAAGAUAUUUUAGGAAUUAUGCAUGCAGAGCCAUGUUCAUAUCUUUGUUAAACUUUACAGUAUCUUAUUUGCAGUCUGCAUUCUCUUCAUCUUUUCUUUUGUUAAAGUUGGUUUUAUGAGUCACAAGGAUAUUCUGAUAGGGAUAGUCGAUUUGAUUUUGUUGAACUUAUGGUGUGGCAGACUUGUGGUCUCUAGUUUAUGGUCAGGUAUAUUAAAGACUAGGCAAUUUGUGAAAGAGAAUAUUGGUUUACUGAUUCAACUGUGCAGAGGCCGUGGAGUCAAAAUUCAAAAAAUCGGAAAAGACUGCUCCUUUUGGUUGGGAUGGGAAGUAUGGCUGAAGUACUGUUGGUGCUUGGAGAUGGUCAAGACUUGCUUCAGCUAACCGUGUUAUGUUGCUGCCGAGAUGACAGUUCUCUGGUGAUGUUGUUUCUUUGAGCUGAACAGCAGUGACUGUGUUGCAGAAGCUAUGGUUGAGCUGAAAUUGCAAGAGAAGCUGCAGAAAGUUGUGUAUCUAUGGUUUGAGGAGUUUGUGUUAGCUGACUGGUGAACAAGAGUGGUGCAAGCAAAUGGUGACUGCUGUUGGGUUUUGGUUUGUUUGCUGUUGCAGAAAGUGGUUAUUGCUGGUGGUAGUUUGUAGAGUGGUAGUUUAUAGAGAAACUGAGUAGCAGUUGAAAUGGGAACUGAUGUGCAGGGAAGCAAUUUGGCUAUGGCAUGUGCAAAUGGCCUAGGCCAAGGCCAUUCAACCGAGUCAGAGCAGCUGACUCAGUAACUUACUCAAGCCCCAGACAGUUAACUUGACCAUUAGUUUGACCAGUGACUGUUAAUUUUCCCGGUUGCCGGAAAAUUGAUUUCCGGUAACUUCCGGUAACUCAACUUAUAUCAGCUUUUUUUCCUUUAGUUGGAAAACCGAGUCAGAGAAGUGCAUUUAUUUUUUUUACCAUUUGAAGACUUGUGAUAUGAGAAAGUUAAAAGAUAAUAAGUUACAAUAAAAUUAUUUUCGUUCUUAUU